GAUUCAAGAAAUGGAAUUCCUUCAGUUUUCUAAAGGUUUGAGUUUCAUGAGAAAAGAAGACUUUGCAGAGUGGCUACUUUUUUUCACUAACACUGAAAAUAAAGAUAUUUAUUGGAAAAAUGUGAGAGAGAAGUUGUCAGCAGGAGAGAGCAUUAGUUUGGAUGAAUUCAAGUCAUUUUGCCAUUUUACAACCCACUUGGAAGACUUUGCUAUUGCCAUGCAGAUGUUCAGUUUAGCUCAUCGUCCUGUCAGACUAGGUAAGUUAUAUGAAAAACCAUUUAAUUUUUAUCAUCUAUAAACAGUUUUACUAUAUUCUUCAACUAAAUGCUACCAAUCAAGGAACAAAUUAUAAGUAAAAAUAGUUGAUUGACCUUUUAAUUCAGUGUGGUUAUUCUAGAUUUAGAAUACCAGUACUCCAGUUUAAUGGUUACUUUCUAUACUUUUAUUUUCUCAUUCUCCUAAAAAGAAGGAAGAAGGCCGGGCAUGGUGGCUCAUGCCUGUAAUCCCAGCACUUUGGGAGUCCAAGGUGGGCGGAUCACAAAGUCAGGAGUUCAAGACCAGCCUGGCCAACAUGGUGAAACCCCAUCUCUACUAAAAAUACAAAAACUAGCUGGGCGUGGUGGCAGGCGCCUGUAAUCCCAGCUAUUCAGGAGGCCGAGGCAAGAGAAUCGCUUGAACCCGGGAGACGGAGGUUGUAGUGAGUCAAGAUCGUGCCAUUGCACUCCAGCCUGGGCGACGAGCAAGAUUCAUCUCAAAUAUAUGUUUAGAGCAUUGAUUAAAUUACAAUAGCUCAUUUGUCUUGCAGUGACUCUCAUGACAUUCGUCGGCUUAUGGUUUGAAUAUUUUCUUCAUGGGUAUUUUUGUUUUUGUUUUACUUCCCAAAUAAUAAAAAUUUGGAUUUGCUUUUACUUCUCAAAUAAUGAAAAUUUAGAUUAAUUUCACUUAGACUAUUUCACAUAGUUGAUAAGUUGUUUUAUGUUUGUUUUUUAGCGGAGUUUAAGAGAGCUGUGAAAGUAGCAACAGGACAAGAACUCUCAAACAAUAUUUUGGACACUGUCUUUAAGAUCUUUGAUUUGGAUGGUGAUGAAUGUCUUAGUCAUGAAGAGUUUCUUGGGGUGUUAAAAAACAGAAUGCAUCGAGGUUUAUGGGUACCACAACAUCAGAGUAUACAAGAAUACUGGAAGUGUGUGAAGAAAGAAAGCAUUAAAGGAGUAAAAGAAGUCUGGAAACAAGCUGGAAAAGGUCUUUUUUAAUAAAAGAUAUAAUAGUAUGGCAAUUAUAUUGUUCCAAAUGUCAAAAUUUGUGAUUUUUUAGAAGUACUUGCUAUUUAUCUUCUUAAGUCUUCAUUGAUAUUCUGUGUGAAAUAAGCAUGUCUUGUACUUGCUUUCUGAUUCAUAAUUUUAUUAAAGAACUUAGUAGAAAGAAAAGUAAGUAUAAAAAUAGAUAUUGGAUUCUGUCAGAAGGCCUAGAUUUGAAAUAAUGUUUUGUACUUCGGUAAGAUGGAAAACUUAGUGAUUCACUGAUUUCUUAGACACUCUAAUAUGAUAUGCUUUCUGGAAGGAUAAAACAAAUACAUAUGGGAAAAAGUACUUGAGACCAAGGCCAGCAUCAAUUCCAGACAUCUUCAUGUUCCUAAUAGGCUAAAUGAAGUUAAAAACUUAUUUCAGAUUUUUCUCAUCUGUACCUUAUAUCUCAUAAAUUUAUUGCAUAUUUUAUGUCAGUAGCUUAGCUGUUUAUUGUCUUUAAAAUAACAUGUAAACUUCAAUGUUCUAUCUGGAAGCAGAAUAAAAUAUUUACAUAGAUACAAAAAA
rnacentral:lncRNA from 1 species